AUACGUAGGGGGCAAGCGUUGUCCGGAAUCAUUGGGCGUAAAGCGCGCGCAGGCUGUCCCUUAAGUCUGAUGUGAAAGUCCACGGCUCAACCGUGGAGGGCCAUUGGAAACUGGGGGACUUGAGUGCAGGAGAGGAGAGUGGAGUUCCUGGUGUAGCGGUGAAAUGCGUAGAGAUCAGGAGGAACACCGAUGGCGAAGGCAGCUCUCUGGCCUGUAACUGACGCUGAGGCGCGAAAGCGUGGGGAGCAAACAGGAUUAGAUACCCUGGUAGUCCACGCCGUAAACGAUGAGUGCUAGGUGUUAGAGGUUUUGAACCUUUAGUGCCGAAGUUAACACAUUAAGCACUCCGCCUGGGGAGUACGGUCGCAAGACUGAA
rnacentral:rRNA from 1 species